AGGACGAACGCUGGCGCGUGCCUAACACAUGCAAGUCGAACGGAGAACUUAUGGAAUGCGACUUCGGUCAAAUGAAAUUUGUUCUUAGUGGCGGACGGGUGAGUAACGCGUGAGCAACCUGCCUCUGUAUGAGGGAUAACGUUUGGAAACGGACGCUAAUACCUCAUGACACAACUGGGACGCAUGUUUUGGUUGUCAAAGAUUUAUUGUACAGAGAUGGGCUCGCGUCUGAUUAGGUAGUUGGUGAGGUAACGGCCCACCAAGCCGACGAUCAGUAGCCGGACUGAGAGGUUGAACGGCCACAUUGGAACUGAGAUACGGUCCAGACUCCUACGGGAGGCAGCAGUGGGGAAUAUUGGGCAAUGGGGGAAACCCUGACCCAGCAACGCCGCGUGGAGGAAGAAGGUUUUCGGAUCGUAAACUCCUGUCCUCAGGGAAGAGCAGAAGACGGUACCUGAGGAGGAAGCCCCGGCUAACUACGUG
rnacentral:rRNA from 1 species